rnacentral:rRNA from 1 species
CUUUAGUAACGGCGAGUGAACAAGAAAUAGCCCAACGCUGAAUCCUAUAGUUUUUGACAACUAUUUGGAACUGUAGCGUACAGGUGCAACUGUUCAACGGCUUUGCAUACUCCAAGUUCCCUUGACUGAGGCCACAGUCCAGAGAAGGUGCUAGACCUGUAGGAGUAGUAAAACCGCUUGAUAUUGGUUGUUCCAUUGAGUCGAGUUGUUUGAAAUUGCAGCUCAAAGUAGGUGGUAAACCUCAUCUAAGGCUAAAUACGACCACGAGACCGAUAGCAAACAAGUACCGUGAGGGAAAGUUGCAAAGAACUUUGAAGAGAGAGUUCAAGAGGGCGUGAAACCGCUUAGAUGGAAGCGGAUAGAGUUAACAAAACACAGCAGCAAUCAUCCGAUUAGAUGUUGAACGUGUCGGCUGUUGACGCUUACAACCUGUACUGUUUGCACUUGUGUAGCAGGAGGGCAGUUUGUGUUCGGUUGAUGUGUACAAUGUUUGACCGGUGCUCUUGCUGUUGUUAUGCAUUGAGGGGCUUGCAAAGGUACGGAAACACUGAACAUCAGAGGCCUACAUUUUAUGAAUGCAGAAACCUUAUGUUUGUGUUUUUUUCCGUUAUCCUUUGUAAGUUAGUGCUUUCGUAACUGCGCCUGCUGGUUAGCGUAAUUCAACUGCAUUGUUGUAGACGUAGUGUAGUAUGGAUUUGUCGCUUGUCGGCUCGUCCUAUUCUCUAUGUUUGCAUCGUUGAUGCUGGUUGUGUAAUUACUGUUAGGCGUUGGCUCCACAGUGUAUACAAAAAGUUAAUCACCUAUCCGACCCGUCUUGAAACACGGACCAAGGAGUUUAGCAUAUAUGCAAGUCAUUGGGUGUUUAAAACCUAAAGGCGUAAUGAAAAUAAUAAUAUGGGAUCUGUAUAUGCUGUGAAUAAUGCGUACAGCGCACCAUAGUCCUGCUAAUAUUGCUUGCAAUUUAGCGGAGAUAGAGCAUAUAUGCUGAGACCCGAAAGAUGGUGAACUAUGCUUGAGCAGGAUGAAGCCAGAGGAAACUCUGGUGGAAGUCCGAAGUGGUUCUGACGUGCAAAUCGAUCAUCUGACUUGAGUAUAG